rnacentral:ncRNA from 1 species
UCGGAUGAGCUGAGGUAAGGAGUGAAAAGCUAAUCGAAUCUGGUAAUAGCUGGUUCUCUCCGAAAUAGUUUUAGGACUAGCGGCGCAAAGUAGCGCGUGGGGGUAGAGCACUGGAUGAUUGGUAAAGGCCGAAAGGCCGACCAAUCAAUCAAACUCCGAAUACCGCGCGUGUAAUUGCGCUAGUUAGACUGUGGGGGCUAAGCUCCAUGGUCAAAAGGGAAACAGCCCAAACCAUCAUCUAAGGUCCCUAAAUUUACGCUAAGUGUAAAAGGCAGUGUCGCGCCAUUGACAGAUAGGAGGUUGGCUUAGAGGUAGCCAUCCUUUAAAGAGUGUGUAACAACUCACUAUUCGAUCGGCCCGGCGCGCCGAAAAUGUACCGGGGCUCAAGCGUGAUACCGACGAUAUGGUCCCCCACCUUCUUCUUGUGCAGGAACAAUGUUUUUGAUGUGGUAGUAGAUACCACCGGGUCUUUGUUCGUGUAUAGUAAGAAGGUGGGGGAGGUAGGAGAGCAUUCGUAUUCCACCGAAGCCCCAGCCGCGAGGCGGGGUGGAGGAAUGCGAAGAGAGAAUGUUGGCAUGAGUAACCACAAUCCCAAUGAGAAAUUGGAACCCCGAAAAUCCAAGGUUUCCGAGGCACUGGCAAUCAACCUCGGGUUAGGCGGUCCUAAGGCGAUGGCGAAAGCCGCAGCUGAUGGGUAGCCGGUCAAUAUUCCGGCCCGCCGGACGGUGUGCGAUGGAGUGACAACGCGUAGUAGGUCAGGUGCCUUAUUGGUUUGGCAUCUUGGGCGUAAGGAGGCGAUCCUGGCAAAUCCGGGUCGAACCGCUUCAAUGCGGACCCUCCAAGCGUCACGGCCAGGUACGGUUUUUACCGUGCCAAGCUGGUUGAGCACGCGUUCGAGAAAAACUUCUAAGUUUAGCUGUCCGGCUCCGUACCGGAAACCGACACAGGUGGAUAGGGCGAGUAGCCCAAGGGGAACGAGUGAUUCAUCGUUAAGGAACUCGGCAAAAAAGCGGCCGUACCUUCGGUAUAAGGCCUUCCCCCACCGCUUUUGCUCGUCACGUUUUAACAAGGAGAAAGAAGUUUGCGCAGAGCAAACUCUGCUUUCCUUCCUGGGACGUCAUAAGCAAAAGUGGUGGGGGACGCAGCGAAAGUCUCCCUGGCGACUGUUUACCAAAAACACAGCUCCCUGCGAACUCGCAAGAGGAUGUAUAGGGGGUGACGCCUGACCGAUGCGAGAAGGUUAAACUUGGCAGUGCUCUGUAGCAAUAUGGAGUGCCGACCGAGCGAAGCCCUCGUCAAUGUCAGCGAUAACUAUAAUCGUUCUAAGGUGAACGCGUUGCCUUAGUAAAAUUCGGGUCCGCCGCCCGUAAGGGUGCGGACUCCCGGCUUCUCUGGUUUUGGAGUAUAAAUUGGAGCGUCGGGACUGUAUGCUGGAACAUCUGUUGUAUCCGAGGCUACUAUGGUAUAAUACGUCCAUAGGCGUAUAUGCCCAGUAACAAUGCAUUCGGUGCAGACAAUCAGCAGGAAAGACUAGAGUUGGCUUACUGGAUCACUGGCUUCACAGACGGCGAAGGAUGUUUCUCUAUCGCGGUUAUUAAGAACGCCACGACUCGUUUUGGAAAGCAGAUUUUUCCGGAAUUCGUGGUGACGCAAGGCGCGAAAAGCUUAGAAGCACUUGAGGAGAUCAAAAAAUUCUUCGGGUGCGGUAAGAUUUUCGUGAAUAAGCGUUACGAUAACCACCAUGAGCACCUUUACCGUUACUGCGUGCGAUCUAUUCCUGAUUUACAGUAUAAAAUCGUCCCGUUUUUCGAGCGGUUUGCACUGCACACCUACAAACAGAAUGACUUCGUCAUUUUUAAGAAGGUGGUGACGAUGAUGUCCCGCAAGGCGCAUCUUACGGAAAAGGGAUGGAUGAGAAUUACGCAAUUGAUAAGCCAGAUGAACAGAAAGAAAAAGCGAUUCUAGUAUCCUCAGAGACUAUACGCCGAACCCCGCCGAUGCGGGGAAGAUAUAGUCCGAACUGCAUAGCGAUAUGCAGAGUUGUCCCGCCGCUGAACUGUCUCAACGAUGAGCUCGGUGAAAAUGCGAUUCCCGUGAAGACGCGGGAUACCUGCAGCGGGACGAAAAGACCCCGGAAGCUUUACUGCAGCCUGGUAUUGAUUUCAGGAUGUUCAUGCGUAGCGUAGUGGUGAGGAUUUGAAGUCCCGAUUUCGGUCGGGAUGGAUCCGACAAUGAAACAGCCAUCUUGAACGUUUUGACGUCUAACCGGUUGGGGACCGCGCACUUUCUGGAAUUAUCAUUGUAGAAAGUGUGCGGAAACCUGAUCGAGACAGUGCUUGGUAGGCAGUUUAAAUGGGGCGUUUUCCUCCUAAAGAGUAACGGAGGAGUUUAUUAAGGUCGGCUUAGCCCGGAUGGAAACCGGGCCAGACGUGUAAAGGCAUAAGCCGGCUUGACUGCGAGACCUACAAGUCGAGCAGGUGCGAAAGCAGAACUUAGUGACCCGACUGCCCUUCAUAGAAAGGCAGGAGACACCGGAUAAAAGCUACUCCGGGGAUAAACCCUGAAAUAAGGGUUGGUUGUCCUCUCCGCCAGCAAUGGCGGAGUAACAAAUACGGCUUAUAACGGUGAAGCGGAGACUGGUCUUUCCUGGCAACAGGUUUUAAAGUCUCCGUAAU